GACCAAUACAUGCAAGUCGAACGAACUCUGGUAUUGAUUGGUGCUUGCAUCAUGAUUUACAUUUGAGUGAGUGGCGAACUGGUGAGUAACACGUGGGAAACCUGCCCAGAAGCGGGGGAUAACACCUGGAAACAGAUGCUAAUACCGCAUAACAACUUGGACCGCAUGGUCCGAGCUUGAAAGAUGGCUUCGGCUAUCACUUUUGGAUGGUCCCGCGGCGUAUUAGCUAGAUGGUGGGGUAACGGCUCACCAUGGCAAUGAUACGUAGCCGACCUGAGAGGGUAAUCGGCCACAUUGGGACUGAGACACGGCCCAAACUCCUACGGGAGGCAGCAGUAGGGAAUCUUCCACAAUGGACGAAAGUCUGAUGGAGCAACGCCGCGUGAGUGAAGAAGGGUUUCGGCUCGUAAAACUCUGUUGUUAAAGAAGAACAUAUCUGAGAGUAACUGUUCAGGUAUUGACGGUAUUUAACCAGAAAGCCACGGCUAACUACGUGCCAGCAGCCGCGGUAAUACGUAGGUGGCAAGCGUUGUCCGGAUUUAUUGGGCGUAAAGCGAGCGCAGGCGGUUUUUUAAGUCUGAUGUGACAGCCUUCGGCUCAACCGAAGAAGUGCAUCGGAAACUGGGAAACUUGAGUGCAGAAGAGGACAGUGAAACUCCAUGUGUAGCGGUGAAAUGCGUAGAUAUAUGGAAGAACACCAAUGGCGAAGGCGGCUGUCUGGUCUGUAACUGACGCUGAGGCUCGAAAGUAUGGAUAGCAAACAGGAUUAGAUACCCUGGUAGUCCAUACCGUAAACGAUGAAUGCUAAGUGUUGGAGGGUUUCCGCCCUUCAGUGCUGCAGCUGACGCAUUAAGCAUUCCGCCUGGGGAGUACGGCCACUACGCUGAAACUCAUAAGAAUUGACGGGGCCCGCACA
rnacentral:rRNA from 2 species